AACACUGUUAACCUGCGGUACCUGCGGAGGGAUCAUUACCGAGUGAGGGCCCUCCGGGUCCAACCUCCCACCCGUGUUUAACGAACCUUGUUGCUUCGGCGGGCCCGCCUCACGGCCGCCGGGGGGCACCCCGCCCCCGGGCCCGCGCCCGCCGAAGACACCUAUGAACGCUGUCUGAAGUUGCAGUCUGAGACACUAGCUCAAUCAGUUAAAACUUUCAACAACGGAUCUCAGAUCGGA
rnacentral:misc_RNA from 1 species